UUUGUUUUUUUAUUACUUUAGUUUUUAUUGAAUUUUCAGUACAUUAUAACAACUGAACACUGUCACAUCAAUUUGUGAGUGAUAUAUGAAAAAAAAAAAAAAAAAAAAAAAAAAAAAAACAUAAACAUAAAAUCAAAACAGGUCCUGUGAGGAAAGGUGAUGAUAGCCACAAAAAUAGAAAUAAAAUGUAUACAUUUCAAAUCGCUGCUUUAUCCACUAAUGAGUCCAAGCUGUGAACCAAUGUCCUUAUGCUUUAUUUAAGUAAAAUGUCCACUUCUGCCAUCUUUUGGCAUAUAAACCUUCUCUCAAACCUAGCACAAAAGUCAACCUUUCCAUUGCCCUUAUUUCAUUUAUGACCUCAAACCAUUGUUGCCGUUUAGGACAAUCGGGCUUAUACCAGUAUCUGUCCCUCUGUACUGUUACAAGUGAAAUAUGACCCAAGUACAAGACAGUGCAUACAAAAGGAAUCUUAUAGCCAAGUACAUUACUCAAAACUAAAUGUACAUCCUCCCAAAAUGACUUCAAUUUUUCACAACUCCAAAAAACAUGUGUGUGAUGUGCUUCUAAGCAGCCACAUUGUCUCCAACAGGGCUGGUGUGUUGAAGAUGUUUUACUGCUAAUCUUAGGUGUGAUAAAGAAACGCACCAAAUUCUUCCAGUUAAACACCCUCAAUUGUUGUGAACUUGUGGAAGUAUGUUGGGUUUCACACAUAUCGUACCAUACAUCUGAUGAAAUUUCCACUUUCAGUUCCUUUUCCCACCUUGAUUUCAAAUAUAAUGUUGAGUUGCCCCUACAUUCCAUAAUUCUUUCAUAAAACAUAGAAAUGAUUUUAACGCAGUUACUAUUCGGUCUAUAAGCAUUCAUCAUAUAUCUUAUAAAUGGAUUAAAUUCUUGUGAGCUUUCCAUUUUCAAUUCUUUGUUGUAGUAAUCUCUAAAUUGUAUAUACCUAAAUAAAUCUCGAUUGUGAAGGGAAAAUUUUUCUUUUAAUGUU